rnacentral:rRNA from 1 species
AUGUUCCCCAUCAUUUAUGAUAUCUCACCCUCUAUUAGUGCUGAUUCAGGGAGUAUAGGGUUAGGAUUAGAAAGCCUAUGUGUUGGAAUUGGGGAGAAGUUGUUCAUGUUGCUGUUUUUGGGCGUUCAGAUUCAGAAAUCAGCAAUUUCGAGUUCCUAUAUGACAAAAUCAGAGGAGGAGCAUCUGGAAUGUUUUGUAGGUGUUGUUCCCACGAUCGUUUUGAGUGGUCAUUCACUCAAUUUGGUUCAGCCGUUUAGCCGUGGCGGUAAAAACAAGUUGCUGGCUGUUUCUGCAAAACAGUAA